UACUUCAAAUUCAAAUACCCUAGCUAACCACCCUCCUCCCAACUAACCUAUCUUACUUUACCUUAUCUUACCUACCUACCUACCUACCAACCCAACUACUUUCUUACCUACCACCUACUCACCAACCACACCCUUUUACCUACCCACCUAUUCACCUACCCAAAUCACAUACUUACCUACCAAUUUACCUCACUACCAACCUAUUUCCCCUUUCACCUACCUCAGCUUUUUACCUCCCCACCUACAGUAUUUGCAUAUUUAACGAUUUUCCUUACUUUAACUUACUUAACCUAACCUAUCUAGUCAGUGUGUAUACUGUAUACUGCACGUAUGUACGUGAGCAUAGUGAGGUUCAAAUAAGCCGUGUGGAUGGAGGAGUUGAGUGCAGACGGGUAGAGCGUGGAGGAAGGAGGUAGGGGAGCGGGUGAGGGAGGGCGCAUAACAGAUGCGCUUCUUGCAUGUAGAGCGUCCGGGUGGGCUCGGCCGAGGCAAGUGGCUGCGCCGGUUAAGCCUCUUACGUCCAAUUCAGAUGACUGAGGGCAUAUCAACACUGUGUGUGCGCGCGUAUGUGAGUGUGUUUGUGUGAUCAGCGACAUGCCAAAUACACACACACACACACACACACACACACAGGCCAGUAGGCUUCAUGUGACGCAUUAGCGUUGCCGAGGACGGCGCAGCAUCCAUCCUCUUUCUCAUGUUGUAUACAAUCUGCUGGCAAACACAUGCUGCUCAUCCAGCACAGUAAAACACGCGGAGGAAAAGGCAGAUUAGCACAAGACAGGACACUUCAUUAGGUACACCAACCCAAGCGAGAAAGGAAAAAGACAAGAUGUCUUCACAACCUCCUCCGAAGGUUUUUGGUCUUCCUGUGCGAGAGGAAGUGGAGGCUAACGUGGGAUCAGGUUUCAGGCCAUUAGCCCGACUGAGAAGAUGAGAGUGAGGAGAGAGCCACAUCCAUCCAUCCAUCCAUCACUCUAUCCACCCACGCGUUCCAGGAGGAUAGAGGCGAGACGUUAAGUCACAGACUGACAGUCUCGUCUCCCGCGGCGACAGCUAUCAGCUCGCCAAAGGGGAGUUACGUACAAAGUAUCAGGUGAACAGGUGGAUGGAUGGAUGGAAUGCAUUGAAGGAGCGUGAUGAAGCGGGAACAGGCAGUCGUGAUACCACCUGACGAUUCCCAGUGAGCGUCAGGGGAAGUGGAAAGCGGAAUUAGCCGAAAGUCGCUGCCAUCUCGUCGGCUCAGUCAUCUUCGCUCGCUUGCCUGCAUAUAAACUGCUGUAAUUAAAUCAUCAUUCCUUCCGGCGUGUUGACAAUUCACUGGAAGUAGGUCGCGUGUGGGCUGCUCGGCCGUCUGGUUCGAUGCCGAGAUGCUAAACGGACACACGCGGGCCGCACGUGUUGGAGCGACCGCGUUGGCGUUUGCAUUAUCUACGACAAUGUCAUCGCACGACGGCCAUCUUGUACGCCCGCAGGUGACACGGACGCUCCGGAGAUGCUUCAGCGCGGCAAUGAAGUGUUUCGCCUAUCAUCCUGGAAAAUCAUCGAAAUGACUCGGACUGGCACAGUGGCAUCGUCAUGAUGACAACAGAGAGCUCAUCUGUAAUCCUCACUCAGAUUAAAUUAGAGUAGAGUUCUAUCCCGACAACGUCACUGCGGAUUUAGGAGUUAGGGUUAAGAGGGUUCAGGUUUGGGAUAGGAUUAGGGGUUAUGGGAUAUAGUUAUGUUUAUGGGUAGCAGUUAGGGUUAGAAUUAAGAGUUAGAGUUAGAGGUAAGGGGUAUAUUUAGGAUAAAGGGUUAGGAUUAGGUGUAUGAUUAUGGUUAGAGGUUGCAGUUAGGUUUAGUAUAAAGGGUUCGGAGUAGGGGUUAGGAUAAUAGGUUGGUCAGACACACUGUAGACACAUUUUCUCCCAAAAAUGUGUCUACAGUGUGCAUAUCUUUUUCGAUAUUUUUACAGUGUGCUGACAUUAUUAGUAUUAACCGCUAAUUUAUACGAGCCGUUCCUUGUUGGGACUCCCAAAUUACUAUCAGGGCAAAUGUGCCUGUCCUGGCCAUGUUCCCUUCGCUUUUUGAAAAAUAGCUGCUACACAGGUCAAAAAAGUCACUAAAUAAAGUUUGCAACACCGAAAACAAGUCGGUGCUCUUGCUCGUUUGUACUGUCCACACGUGCACAUCAAAAUAAAGCAACAUUUUCAAAAUAAAAACUACAUUUUAGUUUGACCUCAGAAAGAUUGCAUGCGAGGGCAGGUCAGAGACCGGGUGGGCUGUGGCCCGCGGGCCGUACA